UAAGAAAACCCUAAACAGGGCUUUAAAUAGUUCACCUUAAUUAUGGAAAAAAAAUAAUAAAAUUCAGAAAUUCUUCGAAUUAGGUGACGACAUUUGUGAUAGCUUAUCAAGAGGCUGAUGACUUAUCACAAAUGUUGUCAGCUCCUUCUUCAAUUUUGGCUCUUCCUGCUUAAGGCUAACCACAAUCUUGAUGACUUAUCAACUCCUUGACGACCUAUCACAAAAUGUCGUCAAGGCGCUGCUUCAGUUCUCCUGUGCUGCCUCAGGCUGACGACAUUCUUGAUAGCUUAUCAGAUCCUUGACGACCUAUCACAAAAUAUCAUCACAGCUUUCAAUCUUAGGUCAAUUCUCUAUUUAUGUCUAACGAUGAAUCUGAUAGCUUAUCACAAGGCUGACGACUUAUCAGAAAUGUCGUCAGACACACUUUUGCCUCUAUCUACUUCUGAUUUCAACUCCUUUGCUUCCAUUCUUGUUGGUUCUCUAUCAUAUUAGCUUCUACUGCAAAAUCAAACAUAAACCAAUCAAAAACAAUAAAAGUUUCUUAAGACUUCGCAAUUAUUCUUAGUUAAAAGCCUCAAAUAUGUUAGCAUUAGCUCACACAUCAGUUUUAUUGAUUUGAUACGGAGAUUGAUUUCAAGCAACUAUUAUUCAGUGAAAGAAAGAGGGGUGAAAUAAGGUAAUCCUCUAUCUCCUACUUUAUUUAUAUAAUCAAUUGAAGUACUCUCUACGGCUCUAAACUCUCUUUUGAGGAUGAUAAGUUUGUAGGUUAUGAGAUGCCUAAGUGGAAUACAAUUGUACCUCCUGUUUUUGUGAUUAAAGAGCUCCAUAAAGUUUUUGCAAAAUUCUUUUGGACUAAUAAGGAAUCAGGCAGAAGUGAACACUGGUCAGCAUGGAACAAAGUAUGUUUUCCUAAAAAGGAGGGUGGACUUGAUUUAGAUCUCUAUUUGAUGUUUCAAAGGCCUUGUACGCUAAAUUAUUGUGGAAAUUCAGGACACAAAAUAGUUUAUGGUCUAACAUUCUUAGGAACAAAUAUUGUAAGAAGCAGAUCCCUUCUCUUUUUCAAUGGUAGGGUAGUUCUCAGGUAUGGAAAUUUAUGUUGCAGAAUGGAGACAUAAUUGAGCAAGGAUUAUGGUCGGAACCUAGAGGAGGCACAAUAACUGUAUGGUUUGACAAUUGGACUAAUUUAGGCCGUUUUUUAAAUAUCCUUCAGAAAUGCCUACUUGUCAUGACUUUAAUGAGACGUAGGACCUAGUUCUUGGUUAUGUGGUAGAACAUGUGAAGAGUACUACAAAAAGAAGUGUUGUGCAAUCAAAGUGAUAAACCAUGAUGGAUUCACACAAGCUCUGGCACUUUUACAGCCAGUAGUGCAUGGAAUCUUCUUAAACAAAGGAAAGAAGCAAAUGAAGACCUGCAACUUAUUUGGAGUAAAGGCUUUCCCUUUAAAAUCUCAUUUCCUGUGUGGAGAAUGUGGCAUGGUAUUGUUCCAGUCGCAGAUCUGAUGUCCAGAAUCCUAACACUUCACAUGAUUGUAGGUGUUGUUUAAAUCCGGAGAGGGAGACCAUAAAACAUUUGGUUUUUAAAGGGGAAACAGCUAGCACAGUCUGGAACUACUUCACAAAGGCAGCUAGUUUUAAUCCUCUCAAUUAUCUUAAGGACAGUGUUAGAGAAUGGUGGAACUUUCAAGGAAACGAAAGAGUAAGGAUUAAUUUUCAGGUGGUUCCUAUCGCCAUGUUGUGGUUUUUAUGGAAAAAAAAAAAAAGAAAUACUAUACUGCAUAGAGAAAAAUAUUCUACUGGUAAAGUUCUUUUUUUUAUAUCACUAGUUCCAUAAUAAAGUUCCUAAAAGCUAGAUUAAAUAUGAAUUGUGACAACAAAAACUGGGUAGAAUUGUAGCAAUUUUGGAAGGGUAUAGACCUAAUUACUCUUUCAAAAUAGUAAGAUGGUAUCCUCCUCCAGAAAAUUGGCUUAAGUGCAACAUUGAUGAUGCUUCUAGAGAGAACCGGGGCCUAGCGCAACAGCCUUCAACAUUAGAAACCAUGAUGGAGAUUUGGUUGUGGCCAAGGGAUACCUUAUACAAGAAAUUACAAUCUUGCGGGGCAGAGGCUGGAGCUAUCAGAGAAAGCCUACAGUUUUACAAAGAGAAGUAGCGAUUUAAUGUUAUUAUUGAGACUGAUUCACUGUCCAUCGUUCACAUUCUGUAAAGGAAGUGGGAAACACCUUCGUCUUUAUUAGUUGAAGUCAAGGAAAUCAACACUCUAAUGGAAAUUUUAUCAGCAAGAGUACAAUAUUCCCUUCGGAAAGGAAAUACUCUUGCUGAUUUUUUCACUAACCUGGUUUUUGUUUUUGCACGUGAAUUUCACAUAGAGAAUUUACAGGAUGUGCCUAGUGACGGAAGAAAAUUACUACAGCUAGACAAACAAGGAACACCAAACAUUCGCAGGAGCAAAAUGGAUUAAUACAUAUGCAUAGGUUAAAAGAUUUGGACCAGAUUUACUACAAAUAGCUUAGUUUUCACAGAAGAGAGUACAAAUAAGUACGUCGGAAGAAAAUUCAUAUGAUGGAGUAUAGCACCUAGUGAGAGUUUAGGGUGUUCAAAGAUACAAAAUCAAGACGUGAAUAUUUGCAAGUGCACUCGGAUCUGUCAACAGUGCUAGGUUGACAGGUGAAUCUGCAACAGGUCAUAAGAGAACAUUAGUAAAUCCCUUUAAAAGCUUUUUCCACCUUAUUUUUUAAUGGAACAGAUGGCGGUAUCAAUCUCUAGUUAGAUUUAACCCAUCAUUCAAUUGAAAAAUGGGCAAAUUAAGCCUUAAGGAAAAGAGAGUUCUUAGCUUUCAAGGGUAGAGUAGAACUGAUUUUCACCUCAAACGUCUAUUAGCCGUGUAGCGAGAUCGAAGUUUAAGCGUUAAAGCUUUGAAGCAAUUCAAGUAUAAGAAUGGAGUUUGUUGGAUUUCAUCGAGAUUUCAACAAUCAAGAACCCCAAGUAUCAAUUCAGAUGAUGACCUUCAUCUUUCUUAGAUGGUAGCUCCGUAUUUUCGGAAUUUUAAGGAAUGAUGAUUUUCUUGGUAGCUCAAGCUGAACUUUUCAGCUGACUACUUUCCUAAUAUGUUUCGGGUGAUGUCUGGUUUUGUAAGUGUUUCUGGGCCAGGCCAUUAUUGGGCCUGGUUUUUGCAUAUUUACGGACCCAUUUUGAUUUAAUAAAGUAUAAAUAACAUAAAUACCAACCAUUUUGGAAGUAAUUACACUCUCUCCCACUUUUUUAAUUACUUUACUCUCUUUCCUUAUUAACAUACAUAACAUAGUCG
rnacentral:lncRNA from 1 species